rnacentral:rRNA from 1 species
GACGAACGCUGGCGGCGUGCUUAACACAUGCAAGUCGAACGGAAAGGCCCUGCUUUUGUGGGGUGCUCGAGUGGCGAACGGGUGAGUAACACGUGAGUAACCUGCCCUUGACUUUGGGAUAACUUCAGGAAACUGGGGCUAAUACCGGAUAGGAGCUCCUGCUGCAUGGUGGGGGUUGGAAAGUUUCGGCGGUUGGGGAUGGACUCGCGGCUUAUCAGCUUGUUGGUGGGGUAGUGGCUUACCAAGGCUUUGACGGGUAGCCGGCCUGAGAGGGUGACCGGCCACAUUGGGACUGAGAUACGGCCCAGACUCCUACGGGAGGCAGCAGUGGGGAAUAUUGCACAAUGGGCGGAAGCCGGAUGCAGCAACGCCGCGUGCGGGAUGACGGCCUUCGGGUUGUAAACCGCUUUCGCCUGUAACGAAGCGUGAGUGACGGUAAUGGGUAAAGAAGCACCGGCUAACUACGUG